UACGGAGGGUGACAGCGUUAAUCGGAAUUACUGGGCGUAAAGCGUGCGUAGGUGGUUCGUUAAGUCCGUUGUGAAAGCCCCGAGCUCAACUUGGGAAUUGCAGUGGAUACUGGCGAGCUAGAGUGCGGUAGAGGAAGGUGGAAUUCCCGGUGUAGCGGUGAAAUGCGUAGAGAUCGGGAGGAACACCAGUGGCGAAGGCGGCCUUCUGGACCAGCACUGACACUCAAGCACGAAAGCGUGGGGAGCAAACAGG
rnacentral:rRNA from 1 species